rnacentral:rRNA from 1 species
GAUGAACGCUAGCGGCAGGCCUAAUACAUGCAAGUCGGACGGGAUUCAGGAGCUUGCUUCUGAUGAGAGUGGCGCACGGGUGCGUAACACGUAUGUAACCUACCUUUAUCAGGGGGAUAGCCUCUCGAAAGAGAGAUUAAGCCCGCAUAAAAUCACAGCACAGCAUUGUGUAAUGAUCAAAUAUUUAUAGGAUAAAGAUGGGCAUGCGGAACAUUAGCUAGAUGGUGGGGUAACGGCCCACCAUGGCGACGAUGUUUAGGGGAUCUGAGAGGAUGGCCCCCCACACUGGUACUGAGACACGGACCAGACUCCUACGGGGGGCAGCAGUAAGGAAUAUUGGUCAAUGGGCGGAAGCCUGAACCAGCCAUGCCGCGUGCAGGAAGACGGCCCUACGGGUUGUAAACUGCUUUUAUACGGGAAUAAACCCAGAUACGUGUAUCUGGCUGAAUGUACUGUAAGAAUAAGGAUCGGCUAACUCCGUG